rnacentral:miRNA from 1 species
UGUGGCCUGUUGGAGGAAGUGUGUCACUGGGGACAGGCUUUGAGGUUUCAAAUGCUUAAGCCAGGCCCAGUCUCUCUCUCUUCCUGCUGCCUGCCCAUCC